rnacentral:sRNA from 1 species
CACUAGGAAACGCAGGCUAAGUUCGCGCCGUCCUGGCCGUAGAGUCAAAGCGCAACUUCACCUACACUAGUACUUCCUUGUACGUCGCAACGCCUGCAUGACCACAUCCUUCCUUGUACGUCGCAACGCCUGCAUGACCACAUCCUGUAGG